UACGAAGGGGGGCUAGCGUUGCUCGGAAUCACUGGGCGUAAAGCGCACGUAGGCGGAUUGUUAAGUCAGGGGUGAAAUCCUGGAGCUCAACUCCAGAACUGCCUUUGAUACUGAGGAUCUUGAGUUCGGGAGAGGUGAGUGGAACUGCGAGUGUAGAGGUGAAAUUCGUAGAUAUUCGCAAGAACACCAGUGGCGAAGGCGGCUCACUGGCCCGAUACUGACGCUGAGGCACGAAAAGCGUGGGGGAGCAAACAGG
rnacentral:rRNA from 1 species